rnacentral:lncRNA from 1 species
CACUUUCCCAAUGACAGAAACACUCUGUUCUGCUGGCCAGCACUGCCUGUGCACAUGGAGACUUGAAGUACCCUGCAGGACACAGCCCUAAAGGCAUCAGGAAAAAAGACUGAGGCGUGUGUGCUAGGACAGUGGUGCCAAAUUUCUUCCCUGUGGCAUGCCCAGGCUAAAGCCUAACCCUCGGCUCCUCAGUGCUUGCUGCUUAGCAGCAGGGGCAGGAGACAAGGGGACAGUCUGCUGUAGUCAGAAAAAUCAGCUCAGCUGUGAACCUAAUCAAGCAGCCAGGCAGUAACUGAGACAAGAUUUUGUCCCCCUUUGUACCACGCAGGAGUCUGCACAGGAAAACCUUCACUGCCUGGAAUCAGCCAGAUAUGGGUGGGACUUCAGUGGAGGUGCAAAUUGUCCAAUUGGCCAUCCAAAAGAUGAAUGGCAAUUGUCAUUCUGUCCACGAUGCCCAUCCAGAAUAUACUGGACUUCUCCACCAAGCUGGUAUGGAUGACGGAGCUUAGCUCCUGCAGCACUCUUACCAUCCAUGGCUCUUUGUAGCUUGGACCAUUCAGAUGGAGUGAGGUAAACCCAGACCUAGUGUGUUGGGGUCGUGGAAUAUGAGUGUAACUGUCUAUUGGUAAAACAACCAAUCAUGAUCUUGAAAGAAAAAGAACUUGAUGUUUUGUUGUUGUUUUUUUUUUUUUUUCAAAUAAAUAGAGCAAAUACAUCA